AACGCGGGACUCGAUCCCGGUUCUUCAGGACCAUGUCCUGGGCUGAAGGCAGACGCCAAAACGCUGAACCACUCAGGGAUCCCCGAAUAUCCUUUUUCUUAUCAAAUAUUUAUUUAUCCAUUUAGUUUUUACAUAAGUAUGGAUCAUGGUUUCUUCCUUUAUGCUAUAGUAUGAUCCAUUAUUAUUUUAUUUAUUUUGAUAUUCAAAUUCUCCUAGAUUUGAUCAACGUGAUCCCUUAACUGGUAAUAAUUAUCUGAUAAAAAUAAUUUUAUUUCUAGAAAAUAAAAAUAUUUUCUACUUUCUGAUACAAUAAGAUAUUUAGGCUCACCUUGUACUUCCCUUCCCUUGCCUUAGGAUCAAUCAUUUCUCCAAGGAGUCCUAAGUCACUUUUAGUGGAGAACAGUGUUUAAAACACAAUGUCUGGUCAAUAAAGGUGUUUGUGUUUUUUUUUUUUUAAGGUGUUUGUGUUUUAUGCUAACCCAUAUGCGCAGUAUCUUUCCUGGCUUUGGCAGUUCUAGUGCCCUUCUGCUGGACCCUAAUGCAUCUAUCCAAGGCUAAAACAAUAGCCAAACUGUGGAAGGAGCCAUGAUGUCCUUCGACAGAUGAAUGGAUAAAGGAGAUGUGGUCUAUAUAUAAAAUGGAAUAUUACUCAGCCAUCAGAAAAGACCAACACUCACCAUUUGCUUUGACGUGGAUGGGCCUACUCCUUUAAUAAGAAGCCACAGAUUUCUAUUGAGUAUCUAUCUGCUUUCUGGCAAUUCCCACUUGGCAUACUGGGUUAUAAUGUCAACAAAAUCUUGGAUCUGUGCCCAAGGAGCUCACAAGUCUUGUGAGGGAGUAUAGUCAGAGGGUGACCAUAACUCAAUGUUUUAUCUGAAAUAGAGUUGAAGACAUCUACAUGGUCAUAAGCAGCCUGUUCUGAAAGAGAAAUGAGUCCAUUAGCUCUUGAUACUUCCUGGGUUGAGAUGGGGUAGAAAGAUACCUAAUGCUUAGAUUGUUGUAGUAAUGACGGCCCAGUUGGGAGUGAACAUCAUUAGCCUAAACUGGCCCAGCACUAUGGACAAUGACCUAACAAGAAAUGAUGUUUCCUCAAGCAAAAAUGGCAGAAAAAAACAAACUGAUAUUCUGCUCUUUCAAAAUGUUCCAAAAUGAUCCAGCAUCCUAUCCAUCUCACUCUGCAAUUGCAACUUCUUAUCAAAUUAUCCCUUAAGUAGGGUGAAGAGUGAAAUUGAAAUAGUGAAUAAACACAAAUUAUAUUGGACAAGAUUCCAAUCUGAAGAUCAAUAAGUCUUAGUUCCACACUACUGGAAGCUAAGAAGAGAGUUUUGAGAGUCUAAAUAUCAUUUUGAGAAGAAUGACAACAUAUAAGCCAAUUGAAAGAGACUUUUUUGAAGAAAUAUAAAUGGCAAUUAUGGCAAAGACUGAUCAGAAAGGCAUCAAAUUGGAAGAGAAAAAUUCACUGGGAGGUGGCUGUAAUGAAGGUAUGAUGUGAAGGCAAAAAGAAAAAAGUUAUUGAUUAAAGGAGAAUGAAUUUACUUUACCUGCAUGGUUUCAAAAAGUAUUCUUAAUCAGAAAUGACUCGGAAGGGCAGCCCGGGUGGCUCAGCGGUUUAGCACCACCUUCAGCCCAGAGCCUGAUCCUGGAGACCUGGGAUCGAAUUUCGCAUCGGGCUCCCUGCGUGGGGCCUGCUUCUCCCUCUGCCUGUAUC